rfam:Pteropus alecto contig71302, whole genome shotgun sequence.
GGUUCCAUAGUGUAGCGGUUAGCACGUCUGCUUUACACACAGAAGGUCCUGAGUUCACGCCCCAGUGGAGCCA